rnacentral:tRNA from 1 species
UCCUGCCUGGCGGAAUGGUAGACGCGGACGACUUAAAAUUGUCUCGAUUUUUCAUCGGUGUUGGUUCAAGUCCAACGGCAGGUA